GAUGAACGCUGGCGGCGUGCCUAAUACAUGCAAGUCGAGCGAACAGACGAGGAGCUUGCUCCUCUGACGUUAGCGGCGGACGGGUGAGUAACACGUGGAUAACCUACCUAUAAGACUGGGAUAACUUCGGGAAACCGGAGCUAAUACCGGAUAAUAUAUUGAACCGCAUGGUUCAAUAGUGAAAGACGGUUUCGCUGUCACUUAUAGAUGGAUCCGCGCCGCAUUAGCUAGUUGGUAAGGUAACGGCUUACCAAGGCAACGAUGCGUAGCCGACCUGAGAGGGUGAUCGGCCACACUGGAACUGAGACACGGUCCAGACUCCUACGGGAGGCAGCAGUAGGGAAUCUUCCGCAAUGGGCGAAAGCUUGACGGAGCAACGCCGCGUGAGUGAUGAAGGUCUUCGGAUCGUAAAACUCUGUUAUUAGGGAAGAACAAAUGUGUAAGUAACUAUGCACGUCUUGACGGUACCUAAUCAGAAAGCCACGGCUAACUACGUG
rnacentral:rRNA from 1 species